GGGGGACGCAGUAGGAUAGGCGAAGCGUGCGAUUGGAUUGCACGUCUAAGCAGUAAGGCUGAGUAUUAGGCAAAUCCGGUACUCGUUAAGGCUGAGCUGUGAUGGGGAGAAGACAUUGUGUCUUCGAGUCGUUGAUUUCACACUGCCGAGAAAAGCCUCUAGAUAGAAAAUAGGUGCCCGUACCGCAAACCGACACAGGUAGUCAAGAUGAGAAUUCUAAGGUGAGCGAGCGAACUCUCGUUAAGGAACUCGGCAAAAUGACCCCGUAACUUCGGGAGAAGGGGUGCUCUUUAGGGUUAACGCCCAGAAGAGCCGCAGUGAAUAGGCCCAAGCGACUGUUUAUCAAAAACACAGGUCUCUGCUAAACCGUAAGGUGAUGUAUAGGGGCUGACGCCUGCCCGGUGCUGGAAGGUUAAGAGGAGUGGUUAGCUUCUGCGAAGCUACGAAUCGAAGCCCCAGUAAACGGCGGCCGUAACUAUAACGGUCCUAAGGUAGCGAAAUUCCUUGUCGGGUAAGUUCCGACCCGCACGAAAGGCGUAACGAUUUGGGCACUGUCUCAACGAGAGACUCGGUGAAAUCAUAGUACCUGUGAAGAUGCAGGUUACCCGCGACAGGACGGAAAGACCCCGUGGAGCUUUACUGUAGCCUGAUAUUGAAAUUCGGCACAGCUUGUACAGGAUAGGUAGGAGCCUUUGAAACGUGAGCGCUAGCUUACGUGGAGGCGCUGGUGGGAUACUACCCUAGCUGUGUUGGCUUUCUAACCCGCACCACUUAUCGUGGUGGGAGACAGUGUCAGGCGGGCAGUUUGACUGGGGCGGUCGCCUCCUAAAAGGUAACGGAGGCGCUCAAAGGUUCCCUCAGAAUGGUUGGAAAUCAUUCAUAGAGUGUAAAGGCAUAAGGGAGCUUGACUGCGAGACCUACAAGUCGAGCAGGGUCGAAAGACGGACUUAGUGAUCCGGUGGUUCCGCAUGGAAGGGCCAUCGCUCAACGGAUAAAAGCUACCCCGGGGAUAACAGGCUUAUCUCCCCCAAGAGUUCACAUCGACGGGGAGGUUUGGCACCUCGAUGUCGGCUCAUCGCAUCCUGGGGCUGUAGUCGGUCCCAAGGGUUGGGCUGUUCGCCCAUUAAAGCGGUACGCGAGCUGGGUUCAGAACGUCGUGAGACAGUUCGGUCCCUAUCCGUCGUGGGCGUAGGAAAUUUGAGAGGAGCUGUCCUUAGUACGAGAGGACCGGGAUGGACAUACCUCUGGUGUACCAGUUGUCGUGCCAACGGCAUAGCUGGGUAGCUAUGUGUGGACGGGAUAAGUGCUGAAAGCAUCUAAGCAUGAAGCCCCCCUCAAGAUGAGAUUUCCCAACUUCGGUUAUAAGAUCCCUCAAAGAUGAUGAGGUUAAUAGGUUCGAGGUGGAAGCAUGGUGACAUGUGGAGCUGACGAAUACUAAUCGAUCGAAGACUUAAUC
rnacentral:rRNA from 2 species